rnacentral:rRNA from 1 species
GACGAACGCUGGCGGCGUGCCUAAUACAUGCAAGUCGAACGCUUCUUUUCCCACCGGAGCUUGCUCCACCGGGAAAAGAGGAGUGGCGAACGGGUGAGUAACACGUGGGUAACCUGCCCAUCAGAAGGGGAUAACACUUGGAAACAGGUGCUAAUACCGUAUAACAAUCGAAACCGCAUGGUUUCGUUUUGAAAGGCGCUUUACGGUGCCGCUGAUGGAUGGACCCGCGGUGCAUUAGCUAGUUGGUGAGGUAACGGCUCACCAAGGCCACGAUGCAUAGCCGACCUGAGAGGGUGAUCGGCCACAUUGGGACUGAGACACGGCCCAAACUCCUACGGGAGGCAGCAGUAGGGAAUCUUCGGCAAUGGACGAAAGUCUGACCGAGCAACGCCGCGUGAGUGAAGAAGGUUUUCGGAUCGUAAAACUCUGUUGUUAGAGAAGAACAAGGGUGAGAGUAACUGUUCACCCCUUGACGGUAUCUAACCAGAAAGCCACGGCUAACUACGUGCCAGCAGCCGCGGUAAUACGUAGGUGGCAAGCGUUGUCCGGAUUUAUUGGGCGUAAAGCGAGCGCAGGCGGUUUCUUAAGUCUGAUGUGAAAGCCCCCGGCUCAACCGGGGAGGGUCAUUGGAAACUGGGAGACUUGAGUGCAGAAGAGGAGAGUGGAAUUCCAUGUGUAGCGGUGAAAUGCGUAGAUAUAUGGAGGAACACCAGUGGCGAAGGCGGCUCUCUGGUCUGUAACUGACGCUGAGGCUCGAAAGCGUGGGGAGCAAACAGGAUUAGAUACCCUGGUAGUCCACGCCGUAAACGAUGAGUGCUAAGUGUUGGAGGGUUUCCGCCCUUCAGUGCUGCAGCUAACGCAUUAAGCACUCCGCCUGGGGAGUACGACCGCAAGGUUGAAACUCAAAGGAAUUGACGGGGGCCCGCACAAGCGGUGGAGCAUGUGGUUUAAUUCGAAGCAACGCGAAGAACCUUACCAGGUCUUGACAUCCUUUGACCACUCUAGAGAUAGAGCUUCCCCUUCGGGGGCAAAGUGACAGGUGGUGCAUGGUUGUCGUCAGCUCGUGUCGUGAGAUGUUGGGUUAAGUCCCGCAACGAGCGCAACCCUUAUUGUUAGUUGCCAUCAUUUAGUUGGGCACUCUAGCAAGACUGCCGGUGACAAACCGGAGGAAGGUGGGGAUGACGUCAAAUCAUCAUGCCCCUUAUGACCUGGGCUACACACGUGCUACAAUGGGAAGUACAACGAGUCGCGAAGUCGCGAGGCUAAGCUAAUCUCUUAAAGCUUCUCUCAGUUCGGAUUGUAGGCUGCAACUCGCCUACAUGAAGCCGGAAUCGCUAGUAAUCGCGGAUCAGCACGCCGCGGUGAAUACGUUCCCGGGCCU